rnacentral:rRNA from 1 species
UAGGGAAUCUUCGGCAAUGGACGGAAGUCUGACCGAGCAACGCCGCGUGAGUGAAGAAGGUUUUCGGAUCGUAAAGCUCUGUUGUUAGAGAAGAACGUUGGUAGGAGUGGAAAAUCUACCAAGUGACGGUAACUAACCAGAAAGGGACGGCUAACUACGUGCCAGCAGCCGCGGUAAUACGUAGGUCCCGAGCGUUGUCCGGAUUUAUUGGGCGUAAAGAGAGCGCAGGCGGUUCUUUAAGUCUGAAGUUAAAGGCAGUGGCUUAACCAUUGUACGCUUUGGAAACUGGAGGACUUGAGUGCAGAAGGGGAGAGUGGAAUUCCAUGUGUAGCGGUGAAAUGCGUAGAUAUAUGGAGGAACACCGGUGGCGAAAGCGGCUCUCUGGUCUGUAACUGACGCUGAGGCUCGAAAGCGUGGGGAGCAAACAGG